rnacentral:rRNA from 1 species
UACGUAGGGGGCUAGCGUUGUCCGGAUUUACUGGGCGUAAAGAGCGCGCAGGCGGUCGUUCAAGUCGCGUGUGAAAGCCCACGGCUCAACCGUGGAGGGUCAUUGGAAACUGGGAGACUUGAGUGCAGAAGAGGAAAGUGGAAUUCCAUGUGUAGCGGUGAAAUGCGUAGAGAUAUGGAGGAACACCAGUGGCGAAGGCGACUUUCUGGUCUGUAACUGACACUGAGGCGCGAAAGCGUGGGGAGCAAACAGG